CAGGCACACAGAGGUCAGCACAACUGUGGUCCAAGUUCAAGCUGGAGGCAGAACUUACCAUUGUCCAUGCAAUGCUGAUUCUGCAGGAAAAAAAACGAGGUCCAAAUGGUGCAUUCUUCCACUGACCUACCAAAAUCUCCUGCUAAGACAAGGAAUGCCAAGCUCUGUCUUAUUUUGUUUUUGACAGUUUGCAGUGUCAUUUGAUUCCCUGCAGGAAGAUGUGAAGAAAGAUGGAGAAAGAAUCCACUCUUCAUCGAGGAGGAUGCUACAUUGAGGCCUCCCUCUUUCCUAGGUCCCACUUCUUUUAUGAGUAGCACCUUAGCCCCUUUGUCAAACAGCUAAAUUAAAAUUGCACCGAGAAUUCUAGAUUCUUCAGCCAGCAAGUACAUGUUGAGUGCUACUUUGAGUUGGACGCAGAAAUCUUAGCACAUAUUUGGAGAGUUUACACUCUGGCUUGAAAUGGGGCUACCUCCAAGGAGACAGCAGAAAACACUGCACAAAGAAGUGGGAUCUAAACUACCAUAAGUGACAUAAGGAAUGAUUUGGGGGAUGUUUUGUGUCAUGGAUAUUCCCACCUGAACUGGUUUAUCUCUACUCAGAGAAGAGAUGAAAAGAACUCCUCAGAGACACAGAUAUGAAAACAACUAUAUUUUACCAACAUUGGGACACUCAUGAUUACUGUAUCCCCAAAUCAAGUCCUAGUCCUUAUUUUCCAUUCUGAUUCACAGAAAUUGGGUUGAUCAUCUUCUAGGUGGCCUGUGGCUUUCUAUGUUCUGUAGAUGCUUAUAUUAAAAGUUCCAAGGCAGGAUGUUGAAGGUCCUUUAUAUGUAUCACCUGUGUCAAACCAUACCAAUUCAAUAGUGUAAUAGCUGAUGUCAUAACUCAUGAUUAAUAGCUCCUGAAGAAACUUUGCAGCCUGAGUUUCAUAACUAAUUUGGGAUGCUAGAGGUAACAGAACAUUUUUGAACUUUAGAGAACAAUUCACCAAAUUUUAUGGAUAAAUAUGAAUGUGUUAAUUUAAAUAUAUUUUUACCAAUUCUUUGAGUAUUUCAUAUAAUAUACUUUGAUCCCAUUUACUCCAAACUCCUCUUAGCUCCACCUUUCUAUACCCCAAACUCUCUUUGCUUUGAUUUUAUUUAAUAACUCAUCUAUUCCAAUUUGUACUGUCCAUACACUUCUGGUUAUGGGGGCAUGUUUUAGACUCUCUAGAGUGUAACUGACCUACGAGAAGUCACAUCCUUAGGAAAACUGACUCUCCCUCUCCAAAAACUGAUCCGUCAUAGCUUUCCAGCUAGCAAUGGGAAUUCAUGAACUCCUUCCCACUUAGUGCAAGAAUGCUGACUUGCUAUGUUUUUUUUUCUCCCCACAGAAAACCACAUUUGCUGUGAGUUCAUGAAGACAUUGUUUUGCCCCAUUACUCCCUGAUCGUUGCCUCUUAUAAUCUUCCCAUCUGCCCUUCUGUGACGAUCCCUGAGAGUUGGGAAGGAUGUGUAAUGUUGAUAUCCUGUUUGUCUGUUGCACAAUCCACAGACACUAAUUCUCUACACUUAGAUCUGUUGAGAAUAUCUGUGUUAACUAUGAGGCACUUCCCAAAGAAACUUCUCUGAUGAGGACCAAGAACUGCCAAAUAAAGCUACUGAUGGCUUUUGAUUGGCAGUAAGAUCAUAUUAGUCAAUACAGUAUACACAUUGGUAACAGGACACGGAACAAUGAAGUAGGUACUGACUAGGAAGCUUCCUGUCUCUUUGUUAGCUCCCCCACUAAUAGAAUUCUGCUGGGAAAUUCAUUGACAGUCUUAUCCAGUUGGGAGCUCCAUUACAGUUUUGAAAGACUUUAUAGUGAGCGAUAUAAGUAUUUCUUCCUUGCACAAAUAUAAAACAAAUUUUAUUUUCCUCCUUUAGAGAUCAUUUGCUUCCUUUGACUAUUCUUAGGAUGCAUCCUUUGAUCCCUUUAUUUUGCUUGCAUGAUUAUCUUUCUCUUCUCUCUCCUCUCCUCUCCUCUCCUCUCCUCUCCUCUCCUCUCCUCUC